UGUAGGUCAGUGUAAGUCCAAAGUUAACACCUCAUUUGAACCUUUAAAAGUAAAGUGGUUGAAAUGCUUCAGAUUUAAAUGUUACCUUUUAUUUAAAGAACACCAGUAGAGUUGGAGUUAGUGUGGCUUACUGUGUAACCUUUCAACUUUGGAGCAAAGUGAGGACGCAGUGGUGUCUGCCUAGAUUACUGCUUGAAAAAGGGCCUCAUUCAAUUAGCUGCAGCUCUGCAACAACCACGGAAAACUGGCCAAUCAGUAUGCAUUAAUUAAGCCAACUUAACCAACUAUGCCCUUGGCAAGUGCUCAGGAAGACUCAAGCAACCUGAUGUCAUUUAGAAGCACUUUGAUUUAAAGCUUGGUUUUGAGCCUCUAAAGGGCUGUUUUGUUCUCUGCCUGGUAUGUAGAGAGCUCAACAGUGCAGUGGAGACUACUCUCACAACACUCUGUAUGGAAACAACACUCACAGUGAUCCACAGAGGCCUUGUUGCAAUACGGCCCCACAAGGACAGUGUAUCGUCAGAAAUUGUGAACAGUAACCAGAGUUGUAAAUUGUACUCUGGAGGUUUUAAUGUAGAUUUUGUUUUAGAAUGUGUAAGCGUUCUGGUUUGGAUGUGAUGUUUUUAUUUUUAAACAUCUUUUGGAGUAGUAAUAGCCCUUACAGAAAAGUCACAUACUGUAAAUGUCACAUCUGAAUAAAUUGACAUGUAAAACA